ensembl:lncRNA
CCACAAUCGGACGACCUGGAGGGUCGAUAAGUCUCUUAUGAAUUUUAGGAAGAGUAUAAAAAACAGGUCUAAUCGGAUGUUGACAAUACAGAAAUUUAAACUCCGAUUGAGAUAUCCAACCCUCUGUUUUAGCAUUUGUUAAAAAUGACAAUAUCUCAGAUUGAUAAAUGUUGGUAGGAUCACUGGGAAGUUUUUUAUAAAACUUAAUAUUCUGUAAUUGUGAAAGAAUUUCGUGUUGGUAUUUUUUCGUAUCUUGGAUUACAAUAGCCCCUCCUUUAUCAGCAGGUUUUAUAAUGAUACUUGGGUCACUUAUCAAUUCGGUCAAAGCUAUUUUCUCAUUCAAUGAGAGAUUAUGAGAAAUUUUAUUACUAGAAGAACAAACUUCCAUCACCUCUUGUUCAACCAAACGACAAAAAGUAUGAAUGGUGUGGUUAGACACAUUAGGGCAAAAAUUACUUUUCGGUCUAAAAGGUGUCGUAGAUAAACCCGAUUCUGAUUUGGAGAAAAAAUACCGUAGUUUCAUUUGUCUAAAACAUUUAAACAGAUCCACCUUUAGACCAAAACAAUUAACACCACUAGUAGGCACAAAAGAUAGUCCUUUAGAUAAAACCACAGUUUGAUCAUCAGAAAGUUCCUUUUUAGAAAUAUUAAUUACCGUCUCUUUGAGUAGCUGCGAGUCCACGGUCGUAAACUUCUUUGAGGCUCUUGAACCUCUUCGACAUUUCUUCUUUGUAGUCUCCGUGGAGGGGCUCGUCUGUCCAAAAAAGACGAAGCGUGUGCACUCGAAUCACUGUCGAUGGUAAACUCACUCUCAGUGGAAUCACUCUGUCCAUUGAAAAAGGUCGAUCCAUUUCUUCUUAUCCGAUUACGAAAUCGAGCCCCAGAUGAUCCACGGACUAGUGCGUUGGCCUCUCGGGUACCACUGUCUCUCAUGUUAGGCAUAGUAGCUGGUCUACUAUCCCAUGGUAGACAACUUGAUCGAGGAAGACAAGGAGUCGAAGUCAAUAUGGGAAGUAGAUUUGAUCUUUUCUUCAAGUAGGACUAUUUUUUCGUGGGUCUCAUGGACAUCAGCAGAUACUUGUUCCACAAUCAGAAGCAUCAAAUCCAUAGAACACUUGUUAAGAAUCUCGCUCCAUUUCUUUAAAAACUGUUUAUUCUGUUUGCACAAUGUUGGAGGUUUGGGAAUUCUCAGACCGCGUGGGAUUCUUUUGUUCCUCCAAUAUUCGCUCAAUGUAGAACCAUGCAUUUUUAGUCGCAUUUCAUUGUGGUACAAUCUUUCAAGUUGCACUCGGUGUUCAUCAUGUGAUAAAUUAAAAUCCAUGUUCUUCUCUGGAAAAAGGAUCUUAUCCGCAUCUUCUUGUGUAAACACCAAUGUGUUAGCGCAGUUGUCUGUCAAAUUAUUAAUUUCUUGAAAAGUAGUCAUGUUUCUUUUGUUGCAAGCCUCAGGGUGCGUAGGAUAAACUCUCUCAGUCAGCAAACAGUAGAGACAGAGUUAAUUAGUGAACGAACUCCAUCGCACACCUGUAAGUAAUAGGUGCGUAGAAAAAAUAAGACCUGGUGGGUCGUAUAAACAUAUAAGGAUCUCCCGCACACUAGCUUAACUUGCAAAAUAAAUUUUUAAUCACACAACGUUUCGGUCACACGACC